UACAGAGGGUGCAAGCGUUGUUCGGAAUUAUUGGGCGUAAAGAGCGUGUAGGCGGUCCGGUAAGUCAGCUGUGAAAGUCAAGGGCUCAACCCUUGAAAGCCGGUUGAUACUGUCGGGCUAGAGUCCGGAAGAGGCGAGUGGAAUUCCCGGUGUAGCGGUGAAAUGCGCAGAUAUCGGGAGGAACACCUGCGGCGAAGGCGGGUUGCUGGGCUGAUACUGACGCUGAGGCGCGAAAGCCAGGGGAGCGAACGGG
rnacentral:rRNA from 1 species